rnacentral:rRNA from 1 species
GCAGCCGCCACGGUAAUACGUAGGUGGCAGGCGUUGUCCGGAAUUAUUGGGCGUAAAGGGCUCGCAGGCGGUUUCUUAAGUCUGAUGUGAAAGCCCCCGGCUCAACCGGGGAGGGUCAUUGGAAACUGGGAAACUUGAGUGCAGAAGAGGAGAGUGGAAUUCCACGUGUAGCGGUGAAAUGCGUAGAGAUGUGGAGGAACACCAGUGGCGAAGGCGACUCUCUGGUCUGUAACUGACGCUGAGGAGCGAAAGCGUGGGGAGCGAACAGGAUUAGAUACCCGCGUAGUCCCUGUCUCUUAUAC